rnacentral:rRNA from 1 species
UACAGAGGUCCCGAGCGUUGUUCGGAUUCACUGGGCGUAAAGGGUGCGUAGGUGGCGAGGUAAGUCGGAUGUGAAAUCUCCAAGCUCAACUUGGAAAUGGCAUUGGAAACUACCUUGCCAGAGGUUUUGAGGGGGGACUGGAAUUCUCGGUGUAGCAGUGAAAUGCGUAGAUAUCGAGAGGAACACCAGUGGCGAAGGCGAGUCCCUGGAAAACACCUGACACUGAGGCACGAAAGCUAGGGGAGCAAACAGG